rnacentral:lncRNA from 10 species
CUAUGAUUCCCUCACUCACAAAAACCUGCUCAUUACCAUUGGCCUCCCUUAUAGAUCUAUGUACAGGAACAGUUGGGGGCUGUUUGGGGAAUGUGCUUUGGCUCUUUUGAUAGUUCCCAUUCUAUCAGUGGGGCUUGGGUAAUAUGAAUCUGCAACUGACCGGGGCUGGGGAGAUGUUACUCUCAGAUGGUUGGGUUUAUCCUAUUUAUGAAUCCACAGGCCCAAAGGUUAAAUGGUGGACCAAUUAAAUUUACCAAAGGCAGGCAUGUUUCCCCGUGAGGUGUCCUGGCAACAGGCGGCCCUCCUGGACAUGCCACAGCAUGUCAGGGGCUGCUUUUCAUGACUGAAUCCGCUCCACCGCACCCCUCUGCAGGCUCCUUCCCCACUCACCUUGUCCUUUUUCUUUCCUGCUUUCACUGGGCGCUCCCUUUCUCUGUCCACAGCUAGCUUUAAGUUUUUAAGUUCCUGUCUCAUCAACUCAUCAACCUAGGAGAAUACAAAACAUACUACUUUUAAGUCACUUUGCAUGUCUUGUGUUUUGUUUGUGAAGUUUAAAAAUCCCUUAAAUUAUGGGGUAGGUCAUUAGUAGGAAAUUGUAAAGAAGCACAAUGGUUGAAGUAAAUGAUUUGCUGUUACUACACCAUAAACGUAGCUGUACCUGUA